rnacentral:lncRNA from 1 species
GCCCAACUAACGAGCUAUGAGAUGCCCAAGGCGGAUGAGGACCUGGGCUCCUAAAGUCCCACAGCCCAUUGUGUCCAGAGAGAUGCUGCCCUGGGGACCCGACACAAUGGCACCUUGGUUGCAGCUGUCCGGGCUGGCAGCUCACAGAGGCACAGUGGGGUUUUCUCAUUUCAAAUGCCUGGCCCCUUUCCAGAGGCACUUAGAAUGGCCAGCUGAUGGGCGUGCUACUGGUGACCCGAGAGGUGCCUUGAUGAGAAGGUUUGGGGUCCCGGUUACUGAUGGUUAUCAUUCUUAGGAGAUGCUGGUCACCUACGAAGAAAGGCAUUCCUGGGAUUUCUGGAAAUCUUUAAUAGCUUAUAUUUGAAAAACAACCUUAUUGGGGCUGGGCACAGUGGCUCAUGCCUAUAAUCCCAGCA